AGCAGUGGGGAAUUUUGGACAAUGGGCGAAAGCCUGAUCCAGCCAUGCCGCGUGAGUGAAGAAGGCCUUCGGGUUGUAAAGCUCUUUUAGUUGGAAAGAAAGAAUUAUAGUUAAUAGCUAUAAUUUAUGACGGUACCAACAGAAAAAGCACCGGCUAACUACGUGCCAGCAGCCGCGGUAAUACGUAGGGUGCGAGCGUUAAUCGGAAUUACUGGGCGUAAAGGGUGCGCAGGCGGCCAUGCAAGUCAGAUGUGAAAGCCCCGGGCUUAACCUGGGAAUUGCGUUUGAAACUGCAAGGCUAGAGUGCAACAGAGGGGAGUGGAAUUCCAUGUGUAGCAGUGAAAUGCGUAGAGAUGUGGAAGAACACCGAUGGCGAAGGCAGCUCCCUGGGUUGACACUGACGCUCAUGCACGAAAGCGUGGGGAGCAAACAGGAUUAGAUACCCUGGUAGUCCACGCCCUAAACUAUGUCAACUGGUUGUCGGAUCUAAUUAAGGAUUUGGUAACGUAGCUAACGCGUGAAGUGACCG
rnacentral:rRNA from 1 species